rnacentral:piRNA from 1 species
UAACAAAUCUUCUUUGUGCUAAGAAUUUGGG